AGUCUUAAGAUUUCACUAAAAGUGAAAAUCUUUGUGUAGUAUCUUCGUAGGGGAGUUGGGUUAACCAAAGAUAACCUCGCACGACGCAACUGGCGAGGGAGUAAGAAGUGUUCUUUUUAUACUCAUGACGAGACAAUCAAACACCUUUUUUUCCACUGCAAGUUUGCACGUUCUACGUGGUCAGUCAUCCUAAUAGCGUCAAAUUUAUAUCCGCCCACAAGUGUUACCAAUAUUUUUGGUCAAUGGUUGGACGGUAUUACAAAUAGGUUCAAAACGCUAAUAAGGAUGGAAGCGUAUGCCUUAAUUUGGUCGCUUUGGCUAUGUAGAAACGAUUUGGGUUUUAAUGACAAAAAUGCUUCUCCUCUACAGGUUAUUUUUUGGUGUACGCACUCGCCACGUACGUGGUCUAUGCUACAACUACCGGAAUACCAACCGCUGUUAAUGGCAGUGUGUACGCGAUUGGAGCAGGUGGCUAUAGAGGUUUUCCCCCAACAUGGGUGA
rnacentral:rRNA from 1 species